rnacentral:misc_RNA from 1 species
UUCACCCUCCCGCUUCAGACACACACACACACACACACACAGAAGCGCUCCUUCUCUUCCUUCUUUUUUGUUUGGCAGUUCAAGCGCUUCGACUAGCAUCCAUAAUCGACGAGAGAAUAAGCAAAAACGCCUCCGCCUCCGCGCAUCGCCCCCCCCCCCCCAAAAAAAAAAAGAGCGUUUUGGUUGUUUCUCUGUCUCCCCCUCUCCUUCGAUCGAACGCGGCAACAUGAACUCAAACCACGCCGAUGCCGGCGCACCAGCCAUGGAGAAGAAGAUGAGCGACAAAGAGGCCCGUAAGGCGGCGCGCCUGGCGGAGGAGAAGGCCCGCGCGGAGGAAAAGGCGGCUCUUGUGGAGAAGUACAAGGACGUGUUUGGUGCCGCACCAAUGGUGCAGUCGACGACGUAUAAGUCGCGCACUCACAUCCCGGUCGCGAAGCUGUCGCAGCCGGAGUUGGUGAGCAAGACGGUGCUGAUCCGUGCCCGCGUGUCGACGACGCGCAAGAAGGGCAAGAUGGCGUUCAUGGUGCUGCGCGACGGGAGCGACUCGGUGCAGGCGAUGGCUGCCGUGGAAGGCAAUGUGCCAAAGGAGAUGAUCGACUUCAUGGGGCAGAUCGCGACAGAGUCGAUUGUUGACGUGGAGGCGACGGUGUGCAAGGUGGAGCAGCCCAUUACGUCGACGUCGCACUCGGACAUCGAGCUGAAGGUGAAGAAGAUCCACACCGUGACGGAGUCGCUGCGUACGCUGCCGUUCACGCUAGAGGACGCGAGCCGCAAGGAGUCGGACGAGGGUGCGAAGGUGAACCUCGACACUCGCCUGAAUAGCCGCUGGAUGGACCUGCGCACACCAGCGUCCGGCGCCAUCUUCCGCCUUCAGUCGCGCGUGUGCCAGUACUUCCGCCAGUUUCUUAUCGACAACGACUUCUGUGAGAUCCACUCGCCCAAGAUCAUCAACGCGCCAAGCGAGGGCGGCGCCAACGUGUUCAAGCUGGAGUACUUCAACCGCUUUGCGUACCUUGCCCAGUCGCCACAACUGUACAAGCAGAUGGUGCUGCAGGGCGAUGUACCGCGCGUGUUCGAGGUGGGACCGGUGUUCCGCUCAGAGAACAGCAACACGCACCGCCACCUGACGGAGUUUGUUGGGUUGGACGUGGAGAUGCGCAUCGAUGAGCACUACUACGAGGUGCUGGAUGUGGCGGAGAGCCUAUUCAACUACAUUUUCGAGCACCUUGCCACUCACACAAAGGAGCUGAAGAACGUGUGCCAGCAGUACCCCUUUGAACCUCUUGUGUGGAAGCUCACACCGGGGAAGAUGAAGGAGCUCGGCGUUGGCGUCAUCUCGGAGAACGUGGUGCCGACAGACAAGUUCCAGGCACGCGUGCACAACAUGGAUAGCCGUAUGCUGCGCAUCAACUACAUGCACUGCAUUGAGCUGCUGAACACUGUGCUGGACGAGAAGAUGGCGCCGACGGAUGACAUCAACACGACGAACGAGAAGCUGCUCGGCAAGCUUGUGAAGGAGCGCUACGGCACGGACUUCUUCAUCUCGGACCGCUUUCCGUCCUCGGUGCGCCCGUUCUACACGAUGGAGUGCAAGGACGACGUGCGCUUCACGAACUCGUACGAUAUGUUCAUCCGCGGUGAGGAGAUCUCCAGCGGAGCGCAGCGCAUCCACGACCCCGAUCUGCUGCUGGCGCGCGCCAAGAUGCUGAACGUGGAUCUCACACCGAUCAAGGAGUACGUCGACUCCUUCCGUCUUGGUGCGUGGCCGCACGGCGGCUUUGGCGUUGGGCUGGAGCGCGUGGUGAUGCUGUACCUUGGGCUGAGCAACGUGCGCCUUGCUUCGCUCUUUCCGCGUGACCCUCAGCGCACGACGCCGUAGAGGCAGCGCACGACGCCAUUCUGCUCGGUCGACUCUCCAACUCCCAUUCUCCGAAGCUCGUCUCAGAGGUGACUGAUGUGGCGCUCUUCUCGCACUUUCCCCCCCUUCCGCCGCUCUGCAUAUGUGUUUAGUGGCGGACCGCAGAGAGACUUGGCGUGCGGUAUACUGCGGACAGAGGGAGGAAAUGGAUGAGGUGCGGUGAGGGCGGGAGAUUAUUUUGGCUUUGUGCUCUUCACCAAGUAUCCUGAUAGGCACGAUGAAGAUGCCCGCACGACUCCGUGGCAAAGACCGCGCUCGUGUCUGUGUGUGCGUCUGCGCGGCGUAAGCCUUGCGGCUCGCGUGUGCGUGGGAGGUGUCGCGGUGUCGCGGUGGAUGGUUGCGUGAAGGAGCGAAGGCCUCUCCGUCUCUGUCUCUCAUCUGCUCUAUCCUCGUUAUCUUUCUCCGUCGCACCACCGAAGUAAACCUCCGGUCACACGCACCCGCGCACAGACACGGGAACGGCGAGGGACGCACACAUGCAUCUCUCUCCCUCUCUAUGGAGCUCCGCCUAGUUGCAACGGUUCUUCUGUUCUCGUACUAAUUUCGACCACACACACACAUACACACACAUGUAUGUGUAUGCAUGUGUGCGUAUGUGGGUGCAUGUGCCUCCCUUUGCGCGCGUCUGAUCUUUCUCGUGUAUUUUUUUGUGCGCUAAGCGUCUCUCC